rnacentral:rRNA from 2 species
UACGAAGGGGGCUAGCGUUGUUCGGAAUUACUGGGCGUAAAGGGCGCGUAGGCGGUCCGCUCAGUCAGAAGUGAAAGCCCCGGGCUCAACCUGGGAAUUGCUUUUGAUACUGGUGGACUUGAGUUCCGGAGAGGAUGGUGGAAUUCCCAGUGUAGAGGUGAAAUUCGUAGAUAUUGGGAAGAACACCGGUGGCGAAGGCGGCCAUCUGGACGGACACUGACGCUGAGGCGCGAAAGCGUGGGGAGCAAACAGG